UACAGAGGGUGCGAGCGUUAAUCGGAAUUACUGGGCGUAAAGCGUGCGCAGGCGGUUUGCUAAGAGAGAUGUGAAAUCCCCGGGCUUAACCUGGGAACUGCAUUGGUGACUGCAUUGCUAGAGUAUGGGCAGGAGGGGGGUGGAAUUCCGACGUGUAGCAGUGAAAUGCGUAGAGAUGUGAGGAACACCGAUGGCGAAGGCAGCCCC
rnacentral:rRNA from 1 species